UGUACCUUUACUGGCAACCAAGGCUGUGAAAUGUGAAAUAUUUAGGACUCGCUUUUGAUGAUGGUUGCAAAAAUGCAAGACCUUUUGGGCUGUGUCCAAGCUGACAUUGCUAUUUAAGAGGCAGGAAAUAUGAGCGCAAAGCCAGGAGCUGGGUGCAAAGAGGCUGGAUUUGCUGUGUUCUUUAGGCAUGGCUGUGUUGUAGUCCAGACAUGACAUCUACCAAUCAGUCCAAUAUGUCCUUCCCUUUAAACGAGACUGUGCCAGGCGCACAGCACUGUAGUAUCAACGAAGCAGAUUUGUGCAAUGUGUAUGAACAAAUUAAAUUCAAGAUGUCAGUGUGCACUGCGGACAGCAGCCACCCAAGCUCCCUGAGGUGAAGCUCUGUGGAAAAAAAUAGAUUUUUUGUUUGUUUGUUUGUUUCUUGGCACGGGUGUUGUUCAUUCAUUUUGCUUAAUGGUUGUUUUUGAUGCACUUUCCUUGUCUAUUUUACACAUACUGUAUAAUAUCGCCUGUGUUGAAGAGAGAGAGGGAGGAGAGACAUAUCUCAUAAAUUUGUUUUUGUGUUUUCCCUCUCCUGCCACUACAUGUUUUUUAUUUGCCCACAGUGGCCAUAAUACACUGUCACAUUGUUAUUACACAAUUCAAGCAACUGGUGACAAAAUGUGUAGUGAAGAAGCUAAAGAUGUUAAAUCUUUAGUAUAGUUACACUGUGAUAAUCAGUGGGAUUAUCCUCACCCUUUAUGAAGUUCUUCUUUAGAGACGCUCGUGUCGAGCUCAGUUUGGAAUGACACCAACAGAAGAGCAAAUUAUUUCACACUGGAUGAAUCACAUCACCUGGACCACUUUACACAGAUUUGUAAAAAUUACUCAAAGGACGUCCUUCAUUUAAAAAAUAUAUAUAUAUGCAUUUCCUUUUCUAUAUCAUCUGAGAUAGAAGGUACACAGCAAAAUCUUCAGUGUUAAUUCUGCUCACAUAGUGUUACAAGCAAAUUGUCCAUAAGAGCAAGGGACACAACUGUAAGUUGAUUUUUGGCUGUCAGCCCAUCUUAUUUUCACUGAAAGUUAACUUCUCAGAUGAACAAACAGUCAAGGCCUUCUUGCACAUUUGAGUAGCUUUUGUCACCAUCUAGCGGACAAUGUGGGCAUUUCAUGGCUUCUAUACAUUGCCUACUUGAAACCCAAAAUUCAGAAAAAAAUCAAAAAAGGCAUUUAUAAAUGUCAGAAAUGCUUGAUUAUUAUUAUUAUUUAUUUAUUUCAUCUUUUUCUUUUUUCUUUUCUUUUUUAUUUAUUUUUUUGCUGGCAGACCCACUAUUAAUGUAUAAAAAUUUCAGUAUUAAGAGUUUUACAAUUCUUGCAUUUUAGGACGUGGAAGGCUUUGCCAUAUGGAAAGACGGACAGAAAGACAGGAAUUACUACAUGUUAUUCCUGAGUUUAUGUAGUCACUAAUUCCAAGUUAAAGUUACAUUUCCAAUUACGUUAAAAUCUAAAUUAUUUGUUAUGCUAAUUUUCCGACACUGGCAGCAUGACUUGAUGACAUAUGAAAAGUCUCUUUCCACCAAUUUACCCAACUCAGAUUUAAAAGCAUUAAGUUGUUUUAGGCAUUGUUUACAAGAAUACCACCAAGAUCUCAAGCAGGGUUUGAACCUACAACCUACUGAUUAUGAAGCAAAAGCUCUGAUCAUUUUCAUCUUCUUCUGAAAUACGUGUCAUGGGUUGUACCACAAAUCUACGCUUCAGACAUUCGCAGUGAUGACAUGAAAGUACGUGGUACUGUGUUGUAAUUUAAACAACUUAUCUUUUCAACUUCACCCAACUUUAAAUUUUAAGGCAAGCCCGACUUUAAAGCUCCAAAAAAUAUUUUAAAAAAGCAGUAAUUUCACACAAUAUAACCCCUUUAAAUGUCAUAAUCAUAAGUGUUUAAUGACAUUAGAUGAAAACCAGGUAUUACACUGGAAUUUAAAUGUUUGCUGCUAUUUGUACCAAAGGACUAAGAAAAAAAAUGAUUGAGGAUGUUAUUUGCUGGGAUUAGUCAAAGUAUGACCAGUGUCUCCCUUGCUGCCUUUAAUACGUACAUAUGCCUGUUGAACCAAGUUCAGAAUUUUGAACAGCCAGCAGGUAAGCGCACACUGUGAUUUUCCUGCAGUGUGACCUCCUGAUUAAAAAUGAGGUUACAUAUCAUCUGUCUACAAGUGCAACACAGCCUUUUUCUGUUUCCACGUAAGUGUUUACUGUUUAGGUGAUACUGAUUGUAAAUCCAGUCUGCCUGACUCCCAUUGAAAAACCUAACCUCAGUUAAUAGAAAAAAACCCAACUGCUCAGGACUCUUUUAAAAGGAAAGCAGUUUUUCUACAGCAUGUGUAUUCUGAAGCUGACUACCAGCUGUGAAUGUGAAACACAAAAACAUGAAUGUACUGUAUAAGAAGCAUAAGUUGCAUUCAUUUUGAUGACACUGAUAUGAUGUAAAUGCUGAUUAUGGUAUACUCACCUGCUGCAUCACAUGUCAGUAAUAUCUGGGCUUUAAUUAACUGGUGGAUGUACAACAGAUUGUCUCUCAUUGCUGUAAGAUAUGCAUGCUUUGUUUUUUUUUUUGUUUUUGUUUUUUCUUGAAUCUAACAGCUUUAAAUUGAAUGAUCAUGAAUUUUUCUCCAGCUGAAUCUGAGGCAUCUCACUCAUUACUAAAUAAAGAAUAAUUGCACAGUU